rnacentral:rRNA from 1 species
UACGUAGGGGGCGAGCGUUGUCCGGAUUUAUUGGGCGUAAAGAGCGUGUAGGCGGCCAGGUAGGUCUGCUGUGAAAACUCGAGGCUCAACCUCGAGACGUCGGCGGAAACCAUCUGGCUAGAGUCCGGAAGAGGAGAGUGGAAUUCCUGGUGUAGCGGUGAAAUGCGUAGAUAUCAGGAGGAACACCGGUGGCGAAGGCGGCUACCUGGACCGACAUUGACGCUGAACGGCGAAAGCUAGGGGAGCAAACGGG